rnacentral:rRNA from 1 species
CACGGAGUUAGCCAGUGCUUCUUCUGCGAGUAACGUCAAUCGCUGCGGUUAUUAACCACAACGCCUUCCUCCUCGCUGAAAGUACUUUACAACCCGAAGGCCUUCUUCAUACACGCGGCAUGGCUGCAUCAGGCUUGCGCCCAUUGUGCAAUAUUCCCCA